rnacentral:rRNA from 1 species
CUCGGCAACCAUUUAAAAUAAAUACCAUCCCGAUCCCAUCCGAUCUCGGAAGCGAAGCAGGGUUGGGCCUGGUUAGUACUUGGAUGGGAGACCACCUAGGAAGACCUGGUGCUGUAGGCG